rnacentral:rRNA from 1 species
UACGAAGGGGGCUAGCGUUGCUCGGAAUUACUGGGCGUAAAGCGCACGUAGGCGGCUUUCUAAGUCGGGGGUGAAAUCCUGGAGCUCAACUCCAGAACUGCCUUCGAUACUGGAGCUUGAGUCCGGGAGAGGUGAGUGGAACUGCGAGUGUAGAGGUGAAAUUCGUAGAUAUUCGCAAGAACACCAGUGGCGAAGGCGGCUCACUGGCCCGGUACUGACGCUGAGGUGCGAAAGCGUGGGGAGCAAACAGGGAUUAA